GCAGCAGGCGGCGCAGUGAUUAGCGCUGCUGUCUUUCAAUCAAGAUAUCAUGGGUUUGAAUCCCACCUCCUGCU
rnacentral:tRNA from 1 species